UUCCUUUUUUUCCCCCUCCCCUCCCUCCCGGCUUCCUUUCUUUGUAGCCACCUCAGGGGAAGCAACAGAUCGUCACUCGGUGUUCUCACCGAAAGCACGUAAUCGCCGGUGUAACUCAUGUUGGCUGGGGGGGCUCCCCGCGCGCAGAAAGGUUGGGGUGCGCCCCCAAGCAGCUCUCCUUUGCUCAGCUACAUGGUCCUGUUCCACGGGUGCGCUGAGGGCUGCGAGAGAGCGCAACUCCCGACGCCUCCCCCCAACACCCCGGUGGGUGAGGGAUGCUCUGGGCUUGGGAUGGCCAGGUGAAAGCCCGGAACUGUGUGGCUCCAGGUCUGGAAGCCUGUUAUCCGAAGGCUUACGUUCGCCACCUCCUUCUUCGCAGCCCCCCCUCUCACAAGCUUGCUCUGGGAACACCUCAGCCUCAGACCCUGGCUGGACCCCAUUUGGGGCCAGGCUUCGCAGCCGUGGAUGUGCCGGCCUCGUGGCUUGUCCGAUUUGCACGGUGACUUGAUUACACGCUCUCAUUCAUGGUCACUUCCGAAGCGCUUUAGUGCCUUCCGUCCCCAAACCGCUAACAGGCAGAGCAGCUUUCCUCCGCGGUUUGUCAAUAAUCUGCGCGGUCCGGAAGGGCCUUCGCCUUACCCGGGUUCCACCUACCCUGUAUCUUUUGCCUACUUCCUCACCCCACACCCUGCCUUUGGAGGAACCCCCUUCUCCUCAGCUGCCUGUAAGGGUUCGGAGUGACUCCGCAGAGCCAGAGGCGCUGGGACUGCGCUUCUGCUCACCGGUCCGCAAGCUGUUCUGUCUCCUGAAGCUGACGAAUCGGAAACCAUGCCAUUGAGGCGAACCUUGGGCUGUUUUAGAGGCGCUGACAUCCGAGGAGCCUUCUCCUGGGAGGCCGAAGGUCGAUCUUAGCCCACCAGGCUCUGGGAAAGACCGGGCUAGGGAUAAGACCACACCGGAAGGCCAAGUCCGAGUUCCAUUCCUAGAAGAGGCGGCUGCCGGCAAGGCUAUGACAUUGGCCCUGGACAUUGGUUUCCCAGGAGCUGUUCUUUCUCAAGAACUGCACAGCGAGCGGGCCGUCUCCAGAAAACACUCCUCAACGUUUAUUUCCUUUAAUCGUCAACCCGGAGCCCUACGGCGGCUAAUGCAAGAGGCCAAAAAUGUUUGGAGGAAGAAAAACAAAGGCAGGAAGUGGCCGCGGCCUGACGGUGCGUGUGUCUGUAGAGAAGGGAGGGAACCGGUUCAAUCUCCUCUUGUUCCCCCCCCCCCCGAACUUCAAGGUCUAGGCAGACCCCCUUAGCGCUUGGCCAAGGCUCUCGGUCCAGAGAUUGGAGGUGGCCAACAAGUUAGCCUUGUCGAACUGAAAGGCUAAGAAGGAAACUUAAUCAGCAAAACACACCAAGCCUUUUGGAGGUUUCUUCUGAUUUUGUCCCAAAAGGGUGGGGGUUGUAUCGGUGUCCACAAAGUCUGCUGUUUUAACCGCACCAUGAAGGGAGGGAGGUUCAGGCACCAUUCGCUCCACCCUCCUUCUCGAGGUAGAAUACCAGAAUAAAGUGUGUCCAGGUGCCUCG